rnacentral:rRNA from 1 species
GUUAGCUAGCUCUCUGCAACUUUCACAUGGUCACAUGCCUUCACAAGCUAAGCAGGGGUGCACCUGGUCAGUACCUGGAUGGGAGACCGCAUGGGAAAGCUAGGUUGCUGCCG